rnacentral:rRNA from 1 species
CUUGCCCUACGGGACGCAGCAGUGAGGAAUAUUGGUCAAUGGGCGAGAGCCUGAACCAGCCAAGUCGCGUGAGGGAGUACUGCCCUAUGGGUUGUAAACCUCUUUUGUCGGGGAGCAAAAGCCGGACGUGUCCGGCUGUGAGAGUACCCGAAGAAAAAGCAUCGGCUAACUCCGUGCCAGCAGCCGCGGUAAUACGGAGGAUGCGAGCGUUAUCCGGAUUUAUUGGGUUUAAAGGGUGCGUAGGCGGGCAUUUAAGCCGGCGGUCAAAUUUCGGGGCUCAACCCCGGCCUUC